GGGCUGGUAGCUCAGUUGGCUAGAGCACUUCAUUCGCAUUGAAGAGGUCAGGGGUUCAACUCCCCUCCAGUCCACCA
rnacentral:tRNA from 1 species